rnacentral:rRNA from 1 species
GAUCAUGGCUCAGGAUGAACGCUAGCGACAGGCUUAACACAUGCAAGUCGAGGGGCAGCACGAUGUAGCAAUACAUUGGUGGCGACCGGCGCACGGGUGAGUAACGCGUUGCAACCUACCUAUCAGAGGGGAAUAACCCGGCGAAAGUCGGACUAAUACCGCAUAAAACAGGGGUUCCACAUGGAAAUAUUUGUUAAAGAAUUAUCGCUGAUAGAUAGGCAUGCGUUCCAUUAGAUAG